GGAAUUGACGGGACCGCACAAGCAGCGGAGCGUGUGGUUUAAUUCGAUGCUACACGAAGAACCUUACCAGGGUUUGACAUGCAAGUGGUAGGAAACUGAAAGGGACCGACCCUUCGGGGAGCUUGCACAGGUGCUGCAUGGCUGUCGUCAGCUCGUGUCGUGAGAUGUUCGGUUAAGUCCGCUAACGAGCGCAACCCUCACUGUGUGUUAUAUGUGUCACACGGGACUGCCGGUUUUAAGCCGGAGGAAGGUGGGAUGACGUCAAGUCAGCAUGGCCUUUAUAUCCUGGGCUACACACACGCUACAAUGGUCGGUACAAUAGGUUGCCAAGCCGCGAGGCGGAGCCAAUCCAAAAAAGCCGGCCUCAGUUCAGAUUGUAGGCUGCAACUCGCCUGCAUGAAGAUGGAGUUGCUAGUAACCGCAGGUCAGCAAUACUGCGGUGAAUACGUUCCCGGGUCUU
rnacentral:rRNA from 1 species